GGUUCUGACCACUUCCCCUUAGAUUCUGGAGGUUUCAUUCUGCCUCCUGUCACUGUUUUCCAGCACAGGGGAUUGGGUACCGUGUGAACAGAUGUCCAGUAAUGGUAUUUUGCAAGUUUCAAAAUACUGCAAAAUACUGAGAAGUGAUGUCUCCAUUAUUUUUUUCAGAGAAAUGUUCAAGGAAUAGUCUUUUUUCUUUGCCAAGCUCUGAUACCUAUUGACCUUCAGUUUAGAAAACACAGCUACGUCUUAACAGCAGAAUCAGAUUCUUCUUACCAUCUUGGAAGGUCCCUACAUCUAGAAGAGGACUGGUCAGCUGAUCCAUUUUUUUAUUCCUUUAUUAAACUGACUGUUGUACUGUU